rnacentral:rRNA from 1 species
CUACGGGAGGCAGCAGUAGGGAAUCCUCCGCAAUGGACGAAAGUCUGACGGAGCAACGCCGCGUGAGUGAUGAAGGUUUUCGGACUGUAAAACUCUGUUGUCAGGGACGAAGGUGCGAUUUGCGAAUAGUUGAUCGUAUUGACGGUACCGACGAGAGCCCAAAUCCCC